CAGUCACCAUGGCAACCGCAGUAACAGUCAACAAACCCCACCUCAGGCAUACAUGUUGCUAGAGAGUGAGCAGGUGACAGGGAAUGGGGGGAGGACCUGGAUCUUGCCAACCCUGGAGAGCACCUGCCCUGCCCUCCUGAGGGCACCUAACCAUGGUACUUCCCGCACAGGAGAAUCCUCUCUGGAUAUAGCCUUUCCUUCUAACGGAGAGAAACAGUUCAACAAAAAACCAACUCAUGCCAAGGCUGUGAUUCAUGGUGGAUGCAGUAUUCGACACCCACAGUCCUCUGCCUCUGAUAAAAGGAAGGAAGAGAAUUUGAGGAAGGUUUUCAACAGCAAGAUUGGAGAAGAUGGGCUUUUGUUACUGGUGCGGAGCUGUAAGAUGUUUGGAAACGGGCUUUAGGGAUUCGGCUUCUUCCUUCUGAAGAUCCAUCAUUUCAUCGGCCUCCUCUAAAGGAGAGAACACUGGAUUGGAAUCAAAGGCCCUCAUCCUAGCUAGCUCGGCUAUUCCACACGACCAAUGUGACUUUGGGUAACCCAUUCUCUGGGUUCGUUUCUUCCUGUAAAUAAAAAGGGUUGGGCUAGGUGACUUUUUUUUUUU
rnacentral:lncRNA from 1 species